UACGUAGGGGGCAAGCGUUGUCCGGAAUCAUUGGGCGUAAAGAGCGUGUAGGCGGCCUUAUAAGUCGGCUGUGAAAGUCAAGGGCUCAACCCUUGAAUGCCGGCCGAUACUGUGAGGCUAGAGUCCGGAAGAGGUGAGUGGAAUUCCCGGUGUAGCGGUGAAAUGCGCAGAUAUCGGGAGGAACACCAAUGGCGAAGGCAGCUCACUGGGACGGUACUGACGCUGAGACGCGAAAGCGUGGGGAGCAAACAGG
rnacentral:rRNA from 1 species